rnacentral:sRNA from 1 species
UAUUAUCGUAAUGCGUGAGGGAUGGGAGCGGCAUCCUUUUUUGGGCUUUUCGCCCAAAAAAGAUACAGCGUACAGCCCGACCCGCC